CCUCGGAGGAGCCGCCGGGACCCCCCGGACCCCCCCCCGGGCAGGGCCCCCUCUGGGCAGGAGGAGGAGGAGGAGGAGGAGGAAGAGGCCGAAGGCUCCGAGGGCUCCGAGGGCCCCGACGCGGCCGAACUGCGCCGGCGCCGCCUCCAAAAACUGGGAACCACCCCCGGGAACGGGAACGGGACCCCCGGGAAUGGGAACGGGACCCCCCCCCACUGACGGCGGGGCCGGAGCCCCCCCGGGACACCCCCCCUUUUUCCCACUCCCCAGUUUUGCCACCAAAAUUCCCGCCUGGAAGCAAAACCCGACCCCGGCUGAGCCCCUUCGGUGACCCCGGAACCGCCGCCCCCGCCCGGGGAACCCCCCCCUUUUCCAGGGGAUUGAGCCCUUCCCAGGGGGAUUCAGCCCUUUCCUAGGGGAGAUUGAGCCCUUUUCCAGGGGGAUCCAGCCCUUUCCAGGGGGAUUGACCCCUUUCCUGGGGAAUUCAUCCCUUUCCUAGGGGAGAUUGACCCCUUUCCUGGGGGAUCGAGCCCUUUCCUAGGGGAGACUGAGCCCUUUUCCAGGGGGAUCCAGCCCUUUCCAGGGGGUUUCAUCCCUUCCCAAGGGGAUUCACCCCUUCCCAGGGGGAUUGAGCCCUUCCUGGGGGAUUCAUCCCUUUCCUGGGGGAUUGAGCCCUUUCCUGGGGGAUUCAUCCCUUUCCUGGGGAAGAUUGAGCCCUUCCCAGGGGAUUGAUCCUUUCCCAAGGGGAUUCAUCCCUUCCGAGGGAAUUCAUCCCUUUCCAGGGGGUUUCAUCCCUUUCCAGGGGGUUUCAUCCCUUUCCUGGGGAAGAUUGAGCCCUUCCCAAGGGGAUUCACCCCUUUCCUGGGGGAAUUAAUCCCUUUUCCAGGGGGAUUCAUCCCUUUCCAGGGGGAUUCAUCCCUUUUCCAAGGGGAUUGAUCCCUUCCCGAGGAGAUUCACCCCUUUUCUGGGGGAUUCAUCCCUUUUCCAGGGGGAUUCAUCCCUUUCCAGGGGGAUGUUGAUCCCUUUUCCAGGGGGGAUUUACCCCUUCCCAGGGGGUUUCAUCCCUUUCCCAGGGAAUUGAUCCCUUUUCCAGGGGGGAUUUGCCACCUUUCCCGCCCCCUCUGGUUUAGCCCAGAUUUUCCUAUUUCCCCUCCUUUUUUCCCAUUUUCCCUCUUUUUUCCCAUUUUUCCCUCCUUUUUUCCCCAUUGCCCCCAUUUUUUCCCAGUUUCCCCCCAUUUAUCCCCC